AAUAAAUAUAUGUUAUUUACCGGCUGCGAGGUCCGGAUGAGAAAAACUGUGCCCGAGAAGGGCUCAGGCCGUUUUCAAGACCUCGGGCACAGUUUUUCUCAUCCGGACCGACGCUGCCGGUAAAUAACGUGUUUAUU